rnacentral:rRNA from 1 species
UUAACAAAAACAUUGCCUCUAGGCCCCAUAAUUAAAGGUAAGCCCUGCCCUGUGACAUAAGCGUUCAACGGCCGCGGUACCCUGACCGUGCAAAGGUAGCAUAAUAAUUUGCCUUUUAAUUGGAGGCUGGUAUGAAUGGGUCCACGUAAGUUCAACUGUCUCUCCUGUAAUCAUGAAAAUUAAUCUCUAGGUGAAUAAACCUAGAUCUUCUUGAAGGACAAGAAGACCCUGUAGAGCUUUACUAAUAAGUAUCAAUAAAGAAAUAAUUUUAAAACACUUUAUUAUAUACUAAAAGUUUUGUUGGGGCAACAAGGGAACAUCCAAAGCAUCCCUGUUAAUAUUAGAUUCAUAAAUCUUAUAAACGAUAAAAUAAAUUUUAGCUAGAAAAUAAGCUACCUCAGGGAUAACAGGCUAAUCCUUCUCCUGAGUCCUCAUUGGCAGAAGGGUUUGGUACCUCGAUGUUGGCUUAGGGUAUCCUUAAGGUGCAGGAGCCUUUAACGGUAGGUUUGUUCAACCUUUAAAACCCUACGUGAUCUGAGUUCAGACCGGCA